UGACGUCGUACAGAGUGCGCCCGUUCUCGCUGUGAAUGAGUUAAUUUUUUUCUCCUAGUACAAGUUGAAGAACAAAGCGAUUACUUUUUAGUUUUUCAGGUCUGUUCUUGUAGUCCUUUACACUAAACAAACAUCAUAUCACACAAUCUUCGGUGAAGCCAUUUACUCCCCAAUUCAUCUAUAAAUACAGCAGACAUCACAUCCGCCGUCACACUCACAACACAUUCUACUUCUCUACUAUUCUGGCCUGCUGUUGUGGAUGAUGGAGUGUGUUUAAAGUGGAGAGUGAUGCGAAUGAGAGCUGAGGAUACUGAGGAACAAAGAGUACUUGGUUCAUUUUUGAACUGAUAGGAGUGAAAGGUGAAGACCACAACUGAAUUGAGGAUGAACAUAAGACCCUACACCUGCUCUCAGUGUGAAAAGAGUUUUGUCAGUAAAAGGCUCUAUAACUUCCCUCAGUAUGGAAACAAAAAAACAAAGUCACACUGGAGAGAAACCUUUUGCUUGCCCUCAGUGUGAUAAGAGAUGUACACAACGAGGUCAUCUUAAGGAUCAUAUACGAAUUCAUACAGGAGAGAAGCCUUUCUCAUGCCCUCAGUGUGAAAAAUGUUUUACACAAGAAAGAAAUCUUAAGUCUCAUAUACGAAUUCAUACAGAUGAGAGGCCUUUCCCAUGCCCUCGGUGUGAAAAGAGUUUCAGACGUGAAAGUCAUCUUAGUGACCAUAUGAUAACUCACACGGGCCAAAAGCCUUUCUCGUGCCCUCAGUGUGAUAAAAGUUUUUCAAAACAAGGACAUCUUAAGGAUCACAUACGAAUUCAUACAGGAGAAAAGCCUUUCUCGUGCCAUCUGUGUGAAAAGAGUUUUACACAUAAGCAAAGCCUUAAUUUUCAUAUGAGUCGUCACACAGCCUUAAAUCUGCUCUCAGUAUGAUAAGACAAAGAUGCAUUGAGAGAAACAUACGAGUUCAAACCUUCCACAUGCUCUCAGUGUAGUAAGCUUUACUGACCUGUGUUGGUCAUGCUGAGGGGCCUCCUCUGAUUUACUAAGAUUUCAAUAGAGAAGCUUGACCACUGCCAUGCAUGUGGGAGAGGUUUCAGAUGAGCACACAACUCGCAACAGCCUUGCAAAGAAAAGUGGUGUUUGCAAAGAGAGAACAAAGAUCAACUUCAGCCAAGGUCCAAGCAUGUGUUUUUUUUAUUAAUUUUAAUGCAUUUCCCUGAGUGGUGAAGUUGUCAUUGUUUGUUAAUGAAUGUUCUUUCAGGAUAUUUGUGUUAAAAUUAAAUGUAUUGAAAAAUGUCAUGUUUACAUCAUUUGUUUCAAAUAUUUUCUGGUAUAUUUCUGUUUGUCAACUAAGGAGAGAUGCUUUUUCAGAUUAAUAUUUAAAGGCUAAUACUUGUGUUGACAUAGGCUACUGCAACUACAGUUUUAUUAUUCCUUAUUCUAUCUGUGUUUUAACAACUUAUUUUUAUGGCAGUUUACAUCAUUUAAUUAUUUUUUUGUAAAUGUUGUGCUUUGUUGUCUAAACUAUUAACUAUAAUUUGUGUUGUCCACUUGAUUUAUAGAUUUUAGAAAUUAGUAACGAGUCCCCUUUUGUUUAACUUAUUAGUGUUAUUAGUGGCUACUCUGUCUGAAAGAUUUAAAGCUAUCGUGAUAUUCAUAUGUUGACAGCACGUGUUAAUGAAUACUACUUUAAUGGAGUAUACGUUUUAAUUAGCUCAGUUUCAUUAAUUGACAAAUAAUGAAUUAUGCUAAGACAGACAAGAUGAAGACAUACUGAUGUGCCUACUACACUAAAAUAAAUAAUGCAUUUCCAAUCAAUUUUGUGACGAAAGAUGUUGCAAGAUGUUAUUUUAAUCUUUUUUGUAAAUAUAUAAAAUAAUGUGUCCACUGAUAUAAUUUAAAGUUACUACAGUUACAUUUACAUUUACGCAUUUGGCAGAAAAGCAGCUUACAUUGCAUUAUCCUAUACAUUUGUUUCUAAGUUUGUGCAAUCCCCUGGGAUCAAAACCACGACCUUGGCGUUGUUAGUGCCAUGCUCUUACCAGGAGCUACAGGAAAGCUUUAACUAAAAAUAUUAGUUAAUAUUUAACUAAAAUACGAUUUUUUAUUUUAACAAUUACGUUUACUUAUCUCUGCCGUUCUUAUGAUUUGUGAUAGUUUUUUGAGACGGUAAAUACAACAUG